CUAUUUUUUUGAACAAGUGGGCGGUGUGAGUUUAUACUUCCUUUGCCUUACCACUAGAAACUGUUUAUCAUGUAAACAGGCCUUGUUUUUUAAAAGCCAAUUUUUUAAAAACAAAGAGGUAUUCGCAUUCCUCAGAAACGUUUGAGGAUGUCAUAAUAUAUGAAAAAGGUCUGUGUAAACCAUAAAAACAUGCAAGCCAGCAUCAGUAGACAUGACUGUGCAUGCUCUGAAGGAUGCAAUUAAAGGGACAGGUCACUCAAAAAUGACACUGAGUCAUUCUCAUGGUUUCCAAACCUGAAUGACUUCAGAGACUUCAAAAAGAGACUUCAGGUAGAAUAUUAUCGACUGACAGUCAGCAUUCACUUCCAUUGUAUCUUAUGCCAUUCAAUGAAAGAUGAAUGGAGACUGGGACUCAUCUCAUUUCGUGUUUCACAGCAAAAAGAAACUCAUACAGGUUUCGAACAACAUGAAGACGAGUCAAUAAUGACGACGUUCUAAUUUUUGUGCCAUCCUUCUGAAAUACACACGCGCGCGAGCGCCCAGGUGCUUCAUUUCAGGAUCACAGGCAGGGGAACCGAAACGGUCAGCAGUGCUUCCAGGAAGCGUCACCGGGGAGCACGCGCGCCGACAGACAGAGGAAUGCAGCAGCGUCCGCGACUCUCCGUCAGGCAGCCGCGAAACUAGAAGGUUCGCAGGCAGCGUGCGUGGCUCGGAGUGCGCGACGGGGUUUUUAUUUUACCGCUGUCGGCGCGAGCUGCUGCUGACGCGAUGCUUUAGCCAUGGACAGCAGGUUAAACGAGAAUCCUGCGAGAACCUUUGAUUUGGCUCUUCAGGUUGCAUGUCCAUCAUCUGAACAUGAAGAUCCGACAGUGCUGUGGAAGUUCCCUCAGGACUUUGGAGACCAGGAGGUCCUGCAGACAGUGCCUAAGUUCUGCUUUCCAUUUGAUGUUGAAAGGGUGUGCCAGACUCAGGUGGGCCAGAACUUCACAUUUGUGCUCACAGACAUUGAGAGCAAGCAGAGGUUUGGGUUCUGUCGGCUCACGUCCGGCUGCAGGGUCUGCAUCUGUUUGCUCAGCUAUCUCCCCUGGUUUGAGAUUUAUUAUAAGCUGCUAAAUACCCUUGCAGACUACUUGUCAAAACACCAGGAAGAUGACUUAAACGACAUGUUGGAAACGCUGCACAACCACCCCUUGCCAAAGCCGUAUACGGCAGUAAAUCUGAGUGUGAGCAACUACUUACAUUUUGCCAAUGGGCAAGUAGUGCAAGAUCCAGGAAGCAGACAGUCGCAUUCAUACUUCAUAGCUCCUGAUAUUAAUGGGCUCCCCACCAUACCUGAAAAUAGAAAUUUAACUGAGUACUUUGUCGCAGUGGAUGUGAACAACAUGUUGCACCUCUACGCCAGCAUGCUGCAUGAGCGACGCAUCAUCAUUACCUCAAGCAAGCUUAGCACUUUAACUGCAUGCGUGCAUGGGUCCACUGCCAUGCUCUACCCUAUGCACUGGCAACACAUCUUCAUCCCUGUACUUCCUCCUCACCUGCUGGAUUACUGCUGUGCGCCCAUGCCAUAUCUGGUCGGAGUUCAUCUCAGCCUUUUAGAGGUACGUCAAAUAAAUCUACUGUCAGCAGCCGUUCA
ensembl:lncRNA